rnacentral:rRNA from 1 species
UUAAGCGACUAAGCGUACACGGUGGAUGCCCUGGCAGUCAGAGGCGAUGAAGGACGUGCUAAUCUGCGAAAAGCGUCGGUAAGGUGAUAUGAACCGUUACAGCCGGCGAUGUCCGAAUGGGGAAACCCAGUGCAAUUCGUUGCACUAUCGUUAACUGAAUACAUAGGUUAACGAGGCGAACCGGGGGAACUGAAACAUCUAAGUACCCCGAGGAAAAGAAAUCAACCGAGAUUCCCCCAGUAGCGGCGAGCGAACGGGGAGCAGCCCAGAGUCUGAAUCAGCUUGUGUGUUAGUGGAACGGUCUGGAAAGUCCGACGGUACAGGGUGAUAGUCCCGUACACCAAAAUGCACAGGUUGUGAACUCGAAGAGUAGGGCGGGACACGUGGUAUCCUGUCUGAAUAUGGGGGGACCAUCCUCCAAGGCUAAAUACUCCUGACUGACCGAUAGUGAACCAGUACCGUGAGGGAAAGGCGAAAAGAACCCCGGCGAGGGGAGUGAAAAAGAACCUGAAACCGUGUACGUACAAGCAGUGGGAGCACCUUCGGGUGUGACUGCGUACCUUUUGUAUAAUGGGUCAGCGACUUAUAUUCUGUAGCAAGGUUAACCGUAUAGGGGAGCCGCAGGGAAACCGAGUCUUAACUGGGCGUUAAGUUGCAGGGUAUAGACCCGAAACCCGGUGAUCUAGCCAUGGGCAGGUUGAAGGUUGGGUAACACUAACUGGAGGACCGAACCGACUAAUGUUGAAAAAUUAGCGGAUGACUUGUGGCUGGGGGUGAAAGGCCAAUCAAACCGGGAGAUAGCUGGUUCUCCCCGAAAGCUAUUUAGGUAGCGCCUCGUGAACUCAUCUUCGGGGGUAGAGCACUGUUUCGGCUAGGGGGUCAUCCCGACUUACCAACCCGAUGCAAACUACGAAUACCGAAGAAUGUUAUCACGGGAGACACACGGCGGGUGCUAACGUCCGUCGUGAAGAGGGAAACAACCCAGACCGCCAGCUAAGGUCCCAAAGUCAUGGUUAAGUGGGAAACGAUGUGGGAAGGCACAGACAGCCAGGAUGUUGGCUUAGAAGCAGCCAUCAUUUAAAGAAAGCGUAAUAGCUCACUGGUCGAGUCGGCCUGCGCGGAAGAUGUAACGGGGCUAAACCAUGCACCGAAGCUGCGGCAGCGACACUAUGUGUUGUUGGGUAGGGGAGCGUUCUGUAAGCCUGCGAAGGUGUGCUGUGAGGCAUGCUGGAGGUAUCAGAAGUGCGAAUGCUGACAUAAGUAACGAUAAAGCGGGUGAAAAGCCCGCUCGCCGGAAGACCAAGGGUUCCUGUCCAACGUUAAUCGGGGCAGGGUGAGUCGACCCCUAAGGCGAGGCCGAAAGGCGUAGUCGAUGGGAAACAGGUUAAUAUUCCUGUACUUGGUGUUACUGCGAAGGGGGGACGGAGAAGGCUAUGUUAGCCGGGCGACGGUUGUCCCGGUUUAAGCAUGUAGGCUGGUUAUCCAGGCAAAUCCGGAUAAUCAAGGCUGAGGUGUGAUGACGAGGCACUACGGUGCUGAAGUAACAAAUGCCCUGCUUCCAGGAAAAGCCUCUAAGCAUCAGGUAACAUCAAAUCGUACCCCAAACCGACACAGGUGGUCAGGUAGAGAAUACCAAGGCGCUUGAGAGAACUCGGGUGAAGGAACUAGGCAAAAUGGUGCCGUAACUUCGGGAGAAGGCACGCUGGUGUGUAGGUGAAGUCCCUGCGGAUGGAGCUGAGACCAGUCGAAGAUACCAGCUGGCUGCAACUGUUUAUUAAAAACACAGCACUGUGCAAACACGAAAGUGGACGUAUACGGUGUGACGCCUGCCCGGUGCCGGAAGGUUAAUUGAUGGGGUUAUCCGUAAGGAGAAGCUCUUGAUCGAAGCCCCGGUAAACGGCGGCCGUAACUAUAACGGUCCUAAGGUAGCGAAAUUCCUUGUCGGGUAAGUUCCGACCUGCACGAAUGGCGUAAUGAUGGCCAGGCUGUCUCCACCCGAGACUCAGUGAAAUUGAACUCGCUGUGAAGAUGCAGUGUACCCGCGGCAAGACGGAAAGACCCCGUGAACCUUUACUAUAGCUUGACACUGAACAUUGAGCCUUGAUGUGUAGGAUAGGUGGGAGGCUUUGAAGCGUGGACGCCAGUCUGCGUGGAGCCAACCUUGAAAUACCACCCUUUAAUGUUUGAUGUUCUAACGUUGGCCCCUGACCGGGGUUGCGGACAGUGUCUGGUGGGUAGUUUGACUGGGGCGGUCUCCUCCCAAAGCGUAACGGAGGAGCACGAAGGUUAGCUAAUCCUGGUCGGACAUCAGGAGGUUAGUGCAAUGGCAUAAGCUAGCUUGACUGCGAGCGUGACGGCGCGAGCAGGUGCGAAAGCAGGUCAUAGUGAUCCGGUGGUUCUGAAUGGAAGGGCCAUCGCUCAACGGAUAAAAGGUACUCCGGGGAUAACAGGCUGAUACCGCCCAAGAGUUCAUAUCGACGGCGGUGUUUGGCACCUCGAUGUCGGCUCAUCACAUCCUGGGGCUGAAGUAGGUCCCAAGGGUAUGGCUGUUCGCCAUUUAAAGUGGUACGCGAGCUGGGUUUAGAACGUCGUGAGACAGUUCGGUCCCUAUCUGCCGUGGGCGCUGGAGAAUUGAGGGGGGCUGCUCCUAGUACGAGAGGACCGGAGUGGACGCAUCACUGGUGUUCGGGUUGUCAUGCCAAUGGCACUGCCCGGUAGCUAAAUGCGGAAGAGAUAAGUGCUGAAAGCAUCUAAGCACGAAACUUGCCCCGAGAUGAGUUCUCCCUGAGACUAUAAGUCUCCUGAAGGAACGUUAAAGACGAUGACGUUGAUAGGCCGGGUGUGUAAGCGCAGCGAUGCGUUGAGCUAACCGGUACUAAUGAACCGUGAGGCUUAACCU